rnacentral:rRNA from 1 species
GACAGCGCACUACAUUUGCUGUCCGCCUGGGAACUACGAGCAUUAGCUUAAAACCCAAAGGACUUGGCGGUGCUUUAGAUCCACCUAGAGGAGCCUGUUCUAGAACCGAUAACCCCCGUUCAACCUCACCCCCUCUUGUCCCUCACCGCCUAUAUACCACCGUCGUCAGCUUACCCUGUGAAGGCCCCAUAGUAAGCAAAAUUGGUACAACCCAAAACGUCAGGUCGAGGUGUAGCGUAUGAGGGGGGAAGAAAUGGGCUACAUUCACUAUACAGUGAAUACGGAUAAUACACUNAAAUGUCUAUUUNAAGGAGGAUUUAGCAGUAAGCAGGAAAUAGAGUGUCCC